AGGACCAUGAGAAGAAAAGUGCCUCCCGUCUCUCUGUCCUCAUCCUUUCAGGUUUAGGACCUGCUGGCAGGAUCCUGACGUCGCGGCUCGCGCCAAAGUAGGACCUGGGAUUUUUAUCCUAAAUCCAGUGGAGAGCUUUAAAGGAUUCUGGAAAAGAGACAUGUUCCAAUUUACAUUCUAAAAUAGGAGUUCUGGCUGCUGUAUAAUAGAGAACAAAAUAGAAGGAAUGAGAGUAGAUGCCAGGGAACCAUUUAGAAGAUUGGAAAGUGGUCCUGUGUCUCCUCUGCUCACAUUCUCCCAUGCUUUGAAGUUGUGUCCUUCUCCAGUGUGGCCACUACCACAACACACCACCUUCACAGCCUAGAAAUGCAGUUGCAUCUUAUUUCAAUGAGUUCAGGAAAGAGACCUUGAGAAGUUUCCCUGGGGCCUGAAAAGGCCUUGCUGUGUUUGCACAAUCUGACCUAAAACUCUUGGGCUCAAGUGAUCCUCCUGCUUCAGCGUCCUGAGUAACUGAAACUGCAGGUAAAUGCCACCAUGCAUUUUAAAAUAGGAAGCUUUUAGAUUACAUAAUCCACUUCUGUGACUUCAGGGAUGAGCCAGUAAUGGUCCAGAGAGAUCGAGUGACUUGC